UACUUGACCAUACAACAUAAUUACGGCAUCUUUUCUGGAAAUCCGUGACAGGAAAAGAGGUAAACUGAUUCCAGCUACAAGAAUGUCCAGUCGGAGCGGAGAUCGCGCGAGUCACCUGACACGAGUGGCCUAGUUGUAGCCGUAGCACCGCGCUACCAGAUGUGUUUGUUGAUUCUACGAACGCGAUCGAUCUGUGAUAUUUGUGCCACUGUAUCAAACGAGCCAAUUUAGUACUGUAGAUGACCUGAUUGUUAAUAAACCAGUCAAAUUAC